UACGUAGGGGGCGAGCGUUGUCCGGAUUCAUUGGGCGUAAAGAGCUCGUAGGCGGUUUGGCAAGUCGGGUGUGAAAUCUCCGGGCUCAACUCGGAGAGGCCACUCGAUACUGCUAUGACUAGAGUCCGGUAGGGGACUAUGGAAUUCCUGGUGUAGCGGUGAAAUGCGCAGAUAUCAGGAGGAACACCGAUGGCGAAGGCAGCUCGCUGGGACGGUACUGACGCUGAGGCGCGAAAGCGUGGGGAGCAAACAGG
rnacentral:rRNA from 1 species